GGCCGUGUGGCUCAAUGGCAGAGCGUCUGACUACGAUGGCCGUGUCGGUCUAACCACAUGAGACAUAUGGUAUCAGAAGGUCGCAGGUUCGACCCCUGUCUCGGUCA